AAUAAGUGCAGUUUUACACUAUUUAUAUUCGACGUUUGAUCAUCUGUCUUAUUUAAAAAGUUAUAUAUUUUGAUUGUUAUUAAAUGAUAAACAUGAAUAGUACUUUAUAUGUAAUUAUUUUUUAAAAAAAUAUAAUUUUAAAUAAGACGAACAAUCAAAUGUUGGACACAGAAAUUCAC
rnacentral:pre_miRNA from 1 species